ensembl:snRNA U2 U2 spliceosomal RNA
AUUGAUUCUUGGCCUUUUGGCUAAGAUCAGGUGCAGAAUCUGUUCUUAUCAGAAAAAUGAAUGAUAGUUCUCAGAAUGGAGAUAAAAUUCUUCGAGUACUCCUAAUAAAAGAAAUUCAGGGAAACUUCAGGAAAACAAAGCUGUUGCUUUAGAGAUAUUUAGUAAAGAGCAGCAUGAUUUUACUUACCACAUAUUUUCUCCUUUUUCCCU